rnacentral:rRNA from 1 species
UACGAAGGGGGCUAGCGUUGUUCGGAAUUACUGGGCGUAAAGCGCGCGCAGGCGGUCCUUUAAGUCAGGGGUGAAAGCCCAGAGCUCAACUCUGGAACGGCCUUUGAAACUAGAGGACUUGGGUACGGGAGAGGUGAGUGGAAUUCCUAGUGUAGAGGUGAAAUUCGUAGAUAUUAGGAAGAACACCGGUGGCGAAGGCGGCCCACUGGUCCGGUACUGACGCUGAGGUGCGAAAGCGUGGGGAGCAAACAGG